rnacentral:lncRNA from 1 species
GGCCGGUACUUUUGUGGAAGGAGCAGUAUUCGCUUGGGUUCUUCUUAGCCAGGUGUUCUAGGAGUGGUUUUGGGCGAGGUGUCAGAGGAAAGGUUUAUCUUUUACACUGUGGAGGAUGUUAUUAAUGGCAGUGUUCAAGGCGAUGUACUGCUUAAGCUUUGAUAUGACUUGUUUGUCUGGACGCCCUCCUCUCAUAACUUGUCAUAGAGAAGAUGGGGGAGUGUCUUUGUCUACCCUUCUUCUAUCUAUUUUUCUAGAGUAAUCUGGUUCAACAGUUGUUCUUCGACUCUUGUCAUCGAGUCUGUCAUAUUGUCUGCGAUAACGAAGCAUUCAGCUAAAGUAGCAUAGUCGUACUUCUUUUAGGAGAUAAGCAAAUGGACAUAGAUGCCUCGUUUGAAUGCUAUAGUCGUGAGCUUAUCAUCUAGUUUUUGUACCUCAACCAAUUCUGUACGGAAGUGCUUCAAAUAGGCUCAAAGACUUUCAUCUCUGGUUUGAGGGAGUAACCUGAACAUAGCUUCGUGGUGCUUCCGGACAUAACGGUAUACAAAAUUUGUAUUAGUAAAUAAGUUGACCAGAGUUUCAAAGCAGUCAAUAGACCUGGCCGGUAAUUUUGAAUACCACCUCAUAGCAGGUCCCUCCAAGGUGGACGAGAACAUCUUGCACAUCAAGGCAUCAUUGUUAUUGUAUCGGGG